GCUGCUGGCAGACUCCUCCCCACUGUCACCAGCCAGACCCGUCCCACAGCCUGGCCCAACCCGGUCACCCGCAUGGAAAUGAAACUAUGACAUUGGGCUGAAACACAUGGAGCAGUUCCCUCGGGGGGCUGUGAGGGGCCAGCGGCCUCUGUAGCACUUGCGGCUCUUCAGCUGAGCAGAAGAGGGUUGCGUGAACAAGGACACGCCUGGCCCAGGCCCGGGACGCAGCCCACGCCGUGGUGAUCGGAGGACUGGGCAGCGAGUCAGGCAGGCGGCAGGUCUAAAAUCAGAGCCACUGUGCAUGGAAGAGCUCGCGAUGACACCUUCAGACGCCCCGGGUGUGGGGCCGAGGUGAGGGUGGGCAGUGGAGAAGCGUGCGUGUAAAUGCUGUUUGGAAAUUGAAUAGGCAAACCCGGCUCCUCCAAGCCCGGACGGCAGGCGCGGUGCUCCUGGGUUCUUUUAGGAAGAAGCCACAGUACAGGGCUUUGGUGGCCGUGGUGUUUGUCUUCCAGGGAAUAUUUUAGUUUCACUGUAAUUCUGUUUGCCACCAGUCUUACUCAGUCAUCUUCGAUGUUCAGGAUAAUGGUCUUUAGUCACCGAGAGGUAAUUAUGGUCAGCAGCUGCCAUUCAACCUGCGGGAAGUGUGCACAAAUGCACAGCUGGGAGAUUUUGGUCCCUACAGAAAACGGGUCUCUGGUCAGCCUCCAGGUAGCCAGGACUCCAGCCAACGAGAACAUGCCAUUUAAAUCUCACUUGUUAAUCUUUUAUUCCAGUAGUUCUCAUUUGAUACAUUUUUAAGAGUUUUUACUUUGCGUUCCUUGAGCAGUGCAUUUCUCUUCUGUAGUGUUUGGUCAUGUCAAGAAAAGUCUGGAAAACGUGUAGAACAGGCUGUUUUAUCAGUCACCUGUCUCCACGAGGCGUCGGCAGAGCUAUUUCCCUGUCAGCUCCCGUCCCUCGGGUCCUUGUCAGUGAAAACACCCCAGUAUGUGAUAAAGACACACAGGGGCAGUCAAGCCUCCAGUGACCCUGGCAGGGGAGGAGGAGGCCACAUGCAGCAGGGACAACUUUCCUCCGCAGAGAGGGACCGCGAGCUCGCCUGGUGCCCAGCGCUCUGCACAUGUCACCGUGGUGAAGUCCAAAGAAGACUCUCUGCGGGGCAGAUGACGCUGCUGUCAUCCAGCCCGUUUUAUGGAUGGGGAAAACUGAGGCCUGGGCAGGUAAGCGCCUCGCUCCAGGCCAUCCACGGCUGCAGAGCUGCCUGUCCCAGAGCUCCGCCCUCGUUCUGCCUGCUCACGUUCGCGCGGAGACCCCUGAGCAGGGCCCUGCCGGGACAGGUGGCGCGCCUCCCAGCGCAGUCCAGAGCGUGGCUGUGAAACCAAAUCAGCCCGCGCUGGUCCCCCAGGCUCUCGCGGGGCCGUCGUUUCCACUGAACAAAGUCCGGCUGCAGAAAGAGCCUCCCGCGCACGUAAGCUGAUUGAGAAAUCACCGAAGCUGACUUCAUCCUUGACACGGUGGGCCCAGCUGCCUCCGUCAAUGGCUGUGCCACCGCCGGGCCCUCAGGCCUCUCACAAGGAAUCUUACCUGCUCCGGGGAACGCGGGCACCUGCUCCUCCCAGGAAGAAAACGACUUCCCGACACAGUGUCAGAGACACCGGAGUCGGCUCCAGCCACGCUUGCUCACGGCAGUCCUGCCAGAGGGAAGCCCCCGGCCCCGCAGGGGGAGCCGGCGAGCACGAAGCCGGCUAAUGCGCUCGGUGCCGGGCACGGUGGCUGCCGCGUCCUCACAAAACCGGCAUUUGGAGGGCGCGACGUAAACCCCUCUUAGAAGCAUCGGCUCGAUCUCCUCUGGGGAAAGUGACCAUGUGUGGAAGGGUGAAGGCGGACGGCCCAUCCACUCUCUGACAGUGCCAUGUGCUGUCACCUGUCCCGGGGCGGGCACACAGGUGGGCAGCCAGGUGUGCAGGGCGGGGCCUGCUCGGACAACCCGCUGGAGCUCCUGGUGGGCUCCUACGUGAACAUCGCUGAAGACACUCAGACUCCGCAGCCCGUGGCCACAGAGACUGACUAAAAGGUGCGUUCCUGGUCGAAAAUCACAGCAUAAGCCAACUCCCAAGACGGCCCAAAGCCUACCUCAACCGUGCUGGAAAAUGGGCCAAUGCAGCUCUUUCCAGCCUGUCCCGAUGUUGGGCUCGGCUGUACGACUCGCCAAUGGAACAUGGUGGAAGUGACUAUUUGGCAGCUCUGAGCCCAGACCUUGGGGAUGUCACAGACCUCCACCUGUCCUCUUGCACCUCAUCAUUGCCAUGAGAAGAACAUGCCCCCGCUGGUCUCCUGGGCAGAGGAAGACAAGGCACACGUGGGACCUAGCUGGGCCCAUCGACAGCACAGAGCUGCCCCACUGAGCCCCGUCCAGACCUCGGAGCACCCUGGCAGCUGGCAGACUCGAGAGACAAAUGUCACUGGGAUUUUUUGCAGCUGCUUGUUACGCAGCGAUAGCCAACUGAGACAGCACUGAAGACAAAAAGAGUGAGUGGGGAUUGAGGAUUGAGAAAGUAAGACCAUAAACGGGAAUUGGUGUAUGCAGUUCUCUCAGCACUGCCCCAUAAUCUCACAGACUUUUUACUGGUCACAUUUGGAAAGAACUCUCUUGGAAACAGAUGUCCCAAUCAGUUAAGAAUGUAGAACUUCCAGGCUGGAGGGUCGAGCUGAGUGUUUGGUUUCUGCUUUCAUUCCUUGUUUUUCAGUUGCAGAUCCAGCCUGUUCGGCAGCACUGGGAACAGGUGCGUGCAGAAAGCCACCCGGAUGAUUUCAUUUCCUUUCAGUAAAUGAGGCGGGUCUUCACUGAUGUCCAAUGUCACGUAAUCACACUGGGCAUCUGGGGCUUGUGCCUAGACCUGGGCACGUCCUUAGACAUGUGAGUCUUGCUGAGGCAGCGACAGUCGUCAUUCAGCAGACAGUUCCAGGUCUUCACCCCCAGGUGCCGGGAAGGGCCCCCUCUGGUUCCACCGGGGGUGGGCCCAGCCCAGUGGGUUGUGAGUGGAAAAGUUGGGGGCCACCCCUGUGCCGAAGCACCUGCACGCUGGCCGAGGCUCUCCGGCGCUCUCUCCGCUGCCCGACAGCCCAAGACACUCACAGUGCCACCAGCGAGAGAGUGGGCACGGACAGAGCUCGGCACCCACAGUGGGCGCACGGCACUAGUGCACGAGAAACUGUGCUUUUAGAGGACGUUAACGUCUACUACCACUGCAGGGCCUAGCCUGCUCUGAGAUGCACAUGAACUGCACCUGUUGCAUGAAAAAAAAAAAAAGAUUUGAACCACUAUCCCGAGAGACAGAAGCAGAAACCAACAAACCAUGUGACUCAGAGUUCACGUGACACGGAGCUGGCAGGUGGCCCCUGGGGUCUGAUUUUCAGCCCAGCCCACUGAAGGGACCCACGACAGGAGACAGGGAGGGUCCCUCAGGCACACCAGGCCCCGGACAGGGACCCGCCAGGCCUGUUUGGGCCAAUGGGACACGUGGUCACAGGGGCACUAAGUGGCUACCAGCUCAGAACAGGGCCAGUAACUGAGUCCCUCCAGGCUGCUCUGACAAAGAACUGCAGACCGGGUGGCUCAUAACAGUGCUGGAGGCACUUCCCAGGCGUCUGGGAAGGCCUGUUUCUGGUUCCUAGAUGCUGCCUUCUGCCUGUGUCCUCCUCUGGUGGAAGGGGCCAGGGGUCCCUCUGGGGUCCCUUUUAUAAGGGCACUGAUUGCACUCACAGGGCUCCACACUCAUGACCCCAUCACCUUAGCAGUUAGGAUUUCAGCGUAUGAUACUGAGGGGGACACGUCAGACCCUGCAUCAGGCCAGGCGUCGGCUGAAAGUCCG